AGACCCGAAACCCGGUGAUCUAGCCAUGGGCAGGUUGAAGGUUGGGUAACACUAACUGGAGGACCGAACCGACUAAUGUUGAAAAAUUAGCGGAUGACCUGUGGCUGGGGGUGAAAGGCCAAUCAAACCGGGAGAUAGCUGGUUCUCCCCGAAAGCUAUUUAGGUAGCGCCUCGUGAAUUCAUCUCCGGGGGUAGAGCACUGUUUCGGCUAGGGGGCCAUCCCGGCUUACCAACCCGAUGCAAACUGCGAAUACCGGAGAAUGUUAUCACGGGAGACACACGGCGGGUGCUAACGUCCGUCGUGAAGAGGGAAACAACCCAGACCGCCAGCUAAGGUCCCAAAGUCAUGGUUAAGUGGGAAACGAUGUGGGAAGGCCCAGACAGCCAGGAUGUUGGCUUAGAAGCAGCCAUCAUUUAAAGAAAGCGUAAUAGCUCACUGGUCGAGUCGGCCUGCGCGGAAGAUGUAACGGGGCUAAACCAUGCACCGAAGCUGCGGCAGCGACGCUUAUGCGUUGUUGGGUAGGGGAGCGUUCUGUAAGCCUGU
rnacentral:rRNA from 2 species